rnacentral:rRNA from 1 species
CUAACACAUMCAAGWCGAACGGCAGCGGGGGAAAKYUUGCUUUCCUSCCGGCGAGUGGCGAACGGGUGAGUAAUACAUCGGAACGUGCCCCGUAGUGGGGGAUAACUAGUCGAAAGAUUAGCUAAUACCGCAUACGACCUGAGGGUGAAAGUGGGGGGCCGCAAGGCCUCAUGCUAUAGGAGCGGCCGAUGUCUGAUUAGCUAGUUGGUGGGGUAAAGGCCUACCAAGGCGACGAUCAGUAGCUGGUCUGAGAGGACGAUCAGCCACACUGGGACUGAGACACGGCCCAG